rnacentral:rRNA from 1 species
AUUACGGGGUGCAGCAGGCGCGAAAACUUUACAAUGCCGGCAACGGCGAUAAGGGGACCUCGAGUGCCAGGUUACAAAUCUGGCUGUCGUGAUGCCUAAAAAGCAUUGCAUAGCAAGGGCCGGGCAAGACCGGUGCCAGCCGCCGCGGUAACACCGGCGGCUCGAGUGGUAACCGUUAUUAUUGGGUCUAAAGGGUCUGUAGCCGGCCGGAUAAGUCUCUUGAGAAAUCCAGCAGCUCAACUGUUGGGCUUUCAGGAGAUACUGUCUGGCUCGAGGCCGGGAGAGGUGAGAGGUACUUCAGGGGUAGGGGUGAAAUCUUGUAAUCCUUGAAGGACCACCAGUGGCGAAGGCGUCUCACCAGAACGGACCUGACGGCAAGGGACGAAAGCUAGGGGCACGAACCGGAUUAGAUACCCGGGUAGUCCUAGCCGUAAACGAUACACGCUAGGUGUCGGCCACGGUGCGACCGUUGUCGGUGCCGUAGGGAAGCCGUGAAGCGAGCCACCUGGGAAGUACGGCCGCAAGGCUGAAACUUAAAGGAAUUGGCGGGGGAGCACAAU